CAGGUGCGCCAGAACUACCACCAGGACUCAGAGGCGGCCAUCAACCGCCAGAUCAACCUGGAGCUCUACGCCUCCUACGUUUACCUGUCCAUGUCUUACUACUUUGACCACGAUGAUGUGGCUUUGAAGAACUUUGCCAAAUACUUUCUUCACCAAUCUCAUGAGGAGAGGGAACAUGCUGAGGAACUGAUGAAGCUGCAGAACCAAUGAGGUGGCCGAAUCUUCCUUCAGGAUAUCAAGAAACCAGACUGUGAUGACUGGGAGCGGGCUGAAUGAGAUGGAGUGUGCAUUACAUUUGGAAAAAAAUGUGAAUCAGUCACCACUGGAACUGCACAAACUGGCCACUGACAAAAAUGACCCCCAUUUGUGUGACUUCAUUGAGACACAUUACCUGAAUGAGCAGGUGAAAGCCAUCAAAGAAUUGGGUGACCACGUGACCAACUUGCACAAGAUGGGAGCGCCCGAAUCUGGCUUGGCGGAAUAUCUCUUCGACAAGCACACCCCGGGGAGACAG
rnacentral:lncRNA from 1 species